UACGUAGGAUGCAAGCGUUGUCCGGAUUUACUGGGCGUAAAGCGCGCGCAGGCGGCUUUACAAGUAUGGCGUGAAAUCUCCCUGCUCAACGGGGAGGUGCGUUGAGACUGUAAGGCUUGAGGACGGUAGAGGGGGGUAGAAUUGCUGGUGUAGCGGUGAAAUGCGUAGGAGACUCAGCAGGAAUACCCGUGGCGAAGGCGGCCCCCUGGGCCGUACCUGACGCUGACGGCGGCGAAGGCUAGGGGAGCGACCCGG
rnacentral:rRNA from 1 species